GACGAACGCUGGCGGCGUGCUUAACACAUGCAAGUCGAACGAAAAGAGGGAAAGAGCUUGCUCUUUCCGGAAUUGAGUGGCAAACGGGUGAGUAACACGUAAACAACCUGCCUUCAGGAUGGGGACAACAGACGGAAACGACUGCUAAUACCGAAUAAGUUCCAAGGGCCGCAUGGCCCAUUGAAGAAAAGGUGGCCUCUACCUGUAAGCUAUCGCCUGACGAGGGGUUUGCGUCUGAUUAGCUGGUUGGAGGGGUAACGGCCCACCAAGGCGACGAUCAGUAGCCGGUCUGAGAGGAUGAACGGCCACACUGGAACUGAGACACGGUCCAGACUCCUACGGGAGGCAGCAGUGGGGAAUCUUCCGCAAUGGGCGAAAGCCUGACGGAGCAACGCCGCGUGAGUGAUGACGGCCUUCGGGUUGUAAAACUCUGUGAUCCGGGACGAAAAGGCAGAGUGCGAAGAACAAACUGCAUUGACGGUACCGGAAAAGCAAGCCACGGCUAACUACGUG
rnacentral:rRNA from 1 species